AAGUAUGCCUAGAGCAUCAAGGAUACCCUGUGUGUAAAGCAAGUUGUGUCUUUCCCAGCCAGUAUUGAAGGCAUGACUGAUAUUGAGAGGAAUGAAUUUGUACUUGAACAAAUGACCCUCAAAAGAAGAAACACAGACGUUGCAGUGUUCCCCUACAAGUCUGAAUACAGAAGUUGGGAGAAAGUUGGGAAAGGUGCACGGUUUGCAUGUUGUGUUGGUGAAGUAAAACCAGGAGAGGUUUAUGACAAUUUCGUAAAAGACAAGAAAUGAUGCCAGCAAAAGUUUACCUACUUACAGAAAAAGAAGA